rnacentral:rRNA from 1 species
GACGAACGCUGGCGGUGUGCUUAACACAUGCAAGUCGAACGGUAAGGCCCUUUCGGGGGUACACGAGUGGCGAACGGGUGAGUAACACGUGAGUAACCUGCCCUCAUCUCUGGGAUAACAGUCGGAAACGGUUGCUAAUACUUGAUAUGAGCUUGCAAGGCAUCUUGUGGGGUGGAAAGAUUUUUUUUGGGUGGGGAUGGACUCGCGGCCUAUCAGCGUGUUUGUGUGGUAGUGGCUCACCAAGGCUUCGACGGGUAGCCGGCCUGUGAGGGGGACAGGGGACAUUGGGACUGAGAUACGGCCCAAACUCCUACACGGGGGAGCAGUGGGGAAUAUUGCGCAAUGGACGGAAGUCUGAUGCAGCGACGCCGCGUGCGGGAUGACGGCCUUCGGGUUGUAAACCGCUUUCAAUUGUGACAAAGCUUUUUUGUGACGGUAGCAGUAGAAGAAGCACCGGCUAACUACGUG